GUAGGGGGCAAGCGUUAUCCGGAUUUACUGGGUGUAACGGGAGCGUAGGUGGCAUGGUAAGCCAGAAGUGAAAACCCAGGGCUCAACUCUGUGGAUUGCUUUUGGAACUAUCAAGCUAGAGUGCUGGAGGGGUAAGCGGAAUUCCUAGUGUAGCGGUGAAAUGCGUAGAUAUUAGGAGGAACACCGGUGGCGAAGGCGGCUUACUGGACAGAAACUGACACUGAGGCUCGAAAGCGUGGGGAGCAAA
rnacentral:rRNA from 1 species